UCUAUAAACGCCGUUCGCUCGCCCACCUCGCCCGUCUCCAGCCGCAGUCUCGCUUGCCUUUCCCCACCUCCCCCGUCGCCGCGGCACCCGCCAGCUAGGGUUUCGUGCCCCGCUCGCCGAUCCGCCCCGUCCGCCAUGUCGAAACAAGGAGGGAAGGCCAAGCCGUUGAAGGCGCCCAAGGUCGACAAGAAGGAGUACGACGAGUCUGAUCUUGCGUAUCUGCAGAAGAAGAAAGAUGAGGAAAAGGCGCUGAAAGAACUGAAGGCCAAGGCACAGAAGGGUGCGAUUGGCGGCUCUGGCCUGAAGAAAAGUGGGAAGAAAUGAGUCUGUUACUUGGGAAAUGAUAAAUCUUCUGCCUAUAUGUGCUGUGGUUCACCAAAUGUGAUUGUAACAAAACUAUUUUAAGUGGGUUCUGUGUUAGUAAUGUUGCAGUCAGUUGCUUGAUCCGAAGAUGAUGUUGGCUAUGAUGCAGAUGGUUCUAUGAUAAUAACAUGGCAUUCUAAGAUGUUGUCUUCUUAAUUUA